rnacentral:misc_RNA from 1 species
AGUUCCUUUUAAAUAUGCCAUUGCUUGCUCAAUAUUCACUCCAUGUGGCUGCUCCUGAUUUUAGCUUGUGUGCUUGGUUGCGCUGGAUACCAAUUCCAGAUGAAAGGGAAUGAGACUGGGCGAUUUGUCUAUACAGGCAACAAUGGAGGGCAUCGAUACUGUACAACAUGCGAAACGGGACAAAAUGACGCAAUAAACAUGAGAACUCAACAAUCCGAGUGCAUUGAUCAAAACUUCAAAGUCUCAAUGCCCGACGGCAGCAAAGAACCAAUAUGUAAGGAGGGCGUUAUUGACGCCAUUAUUCCAGGUUGUGGUCCUUUACCAGCAGCAGACGGGCUUUCUUGGAGGACAAAGUCCGGUAGACCCAUACAGGUCAAUAGCACUGUGUAUGAGGUGUAUUAUUCUAUAUGUAGCCAGAAUGGCGUACUUAACAGGGACCUACAGAGCAUCCGGUGUGGUGAAGACCUGGGAUGGAACGCCAGCAUACAGGGACUGCGAUGUCUUUAUGGUUGUGGACCUUUCCCAAAUGGUUCGAAGUGGAGGCUGCAGAAUGGAAGCGAGGCUGGAAAUGAAAGUUUGGUGGGGGAGACUUAUUUCAGUGAAUGCUCGCCUGGUCACAAACGGAGCAUAGUGAUGUACUGUGGACCAGAUUCGAAAUGGCACACUAAUUAUUCUACACCAUGUGAAACCGACAAAUGUGAACAGUGGUAUUGUAGUGUAGAAAUCCUUAUUGGGUGUUCGUUAGGAGCAUCUCUUGGAAUACUCAUAUUGAUCGGGUGUAUUUACAUGUGCUGUUAUAAAAAAAGCACUGACCCACCAAGACCACCUUGCGUGUGGGAACUUAUAUCUUUGACAUCGAAUGAAAAUAUUCGAGUUUUUCAGGCAUUAUGCUCAGGGAUUAAUAACGACGGGAUUUUGCAGUUUACAGUGCAGAAAGGUGAAACGGUUUUUAUUGCCACCAAAGAGAAAUUGAAUGACUACGAUUGUCUCCGAAUAUGGCGACAGGAUCCCGAGUCGUAUCGAGGCGUGGAAAUGCACCCCUUUCUGCACUGCAUCUCCUGUGUGGAGAUUGGAGACUCCGGUUUUUAUUAUUGGAGAACCGCCUCUUGGUCAAAGGAACGUUACUGUAAAUUCGAUCUUAAAGUAGUCGACCGCGGGCAACCGGAUGGUUUGGAGUCGUCUGAUUUGAACCUUUUGGCGAGUGCAGCCUCUAGUGGAGAUGUGCAUGAAGACCACACUGAAUGUAGGCACCAAAAACUCACUACUAUGUGAUUUCACAGGAUAAACCUCUGCCAUUCAGUCAACUUAAUGUUAACUGAAAGGUCUGGAAAGGUGACUGAAUGGCAGAGUUAUGCCAUUCAGUCACAUUUAAGUUGACUGAAUGGCAGAGAUUCAUCCUGUGUUUUUUAAAAGUUGUAUUCACGUUUAUUUUUGACUGUCACAAAGGCGUCUGUGUUGGUUGUUUUUCAGAUCAUUCUUCUGUAAGUAAUCCUUGUUUGGCUGGGUUAUGUCCAUCUUUGAGCGAAGCCUCUUUGUUGACCGAGGAUAACAAAGAUGAACCAGUCUGCGGGUUACAGAUAGACACCAUGUAUCGAGAUCCAAUCUGGGAUACCUUCCUGAAGUGUUUGUGUUACUGUCUCAAUAGUUCAGCUUCAGGUCGAGAAUGUGCAUGUUGGAGGCAAAUAGCCAAAAUGUACCUAAAACGGACGGAUGCCUAUCUUUCUAGUAUUGAAUGGUACAAAGAGGGUGAUCCUGUUAACGGCCCAGCCUACCUAAUCCUAAACGACGUCCGGAGAGCGUACCGAGCCAUUACCAUAGGCCAACUCGCAGCGAAUCUACAACCGCCAAACUUAGACCUAAUGAACUGCAUCAACAGUUUUCACCACGAAUGCACUUUUUGCACUCGUCUUUAUUACCGAAUGCAUCAAACAAGACCAAAAGAUGUCCAUGGAUAGUAAGAGGGGUCAUUGUAUCCCUUUGCUGUUUUUAAGGGACGUUGAAUGACAAUUUCUGAGUUGUCUCCAAGCACCCCAGUCGGGCUCUUCGAGGUAUACGAAUAGGAUCCACGCAUAAGGAAGGAGUCGGCCUUAUUUCUCUGUUCUGAGACAGAAAGAGCGGUGAUUUAUUUCAUAUAAUUGACUCUUUUUUAAAUAUUUUGACAUUCACAGGGAAGUUUACCAGAUUUUCAACCACAGUCAGUUGACAUCUCUACAAUCUUUGAAACUUCCGAUAGGAAAGCAGAAUACCAUCCAAUGAGAAAGCAUGAUUCAAAUGUUUUGAACCCUGAUUUGCAUAAUAUUAAACUUUUGUGCUGUUGUUAAUACGCUUACCAGCUAAUGAAUAAGAAUCUACAUAUCAGUAAUACGCUGUAAAUGUGAAGUGUAACGUUUAUUGACAUUAAUGUUAAAUUUGAGUUAAUGCUUUAGACUUAAAUAAAAUCCAACAGAAGU